GCUUACUUUGGCAAUGCAUAUACUAAAACUGGAUUGAUUUAGAGAAAAUUAGCAUGAUUUCUGUGCAUGGAAGAUAUACAAAUUCAUAAAAUGUUCCAUCUUUUA